GCCUCGGUAGCUCAGUUGGUAGAGCACGCGACUGAAAAUCGCGGUGUCGGUGGUUCGAAUCCGCCCCGAGGCACCA
rnacentral:tRNA from 5 species